rnacentral:rRNA from 1 species
GACGAACGCUGGCGGCGUGCUUAACACAUGCAAGUCGAGCGGAAACGCCCUUCAGGGUACUCGAGCGGCCAACGGGUGAGUAACACCUUAGUAACCUACCCCCGACUUUGUGAUAACCCUCCGAAACGUGGGCUCAUCCCCGAUACCCCACAGCUUCACUUGGGGUCUUUGUAGAAAGUUUUUCGGUUUGGGAUUGGCUCGCGGCCUAUCAUCUUGUUGGUUGGGUGAUGGCCUACCAAGGCGCCGACGGGUAGCCGGCCUGAGAGGGCGACCGGCCACACUGCGACUGAGAAAAGGCCGAGACAGAUACGAGAAGCAGCAGUGGGGAAGAUUGCAGAAUGGGCGGAAGCCUGAGGCAGAGAGGCGGCGUAAGGGAUGACGACCUUUGGGUUGUAAACCUAUUUCGGCAGGGACGAAGCGUAAGUGACGGUACCUGCAGAAGAAGCGCCGGCUAACUACGUG